rnacentral:rRNA from 1 species
CAUUUUAAUUCAAAAUGAGAGUUUGAUCCUGGCUCAGGACGAACGCUGGCGGCGUGCCUAAUACAUGCAAGUCGAGCGAGCUUGCCUAUUGAAAUUCUUCGGAAUGGACAUAGAUACAAGCUAGCGGCGGAUGGGUGAGUAACGCGUGGGUAACCUGCCCUUAAGUCUGGGAUACCAUUUGGAAACAGAUGCUAAUACCGGAUAAAAGCUACUUUCGCAUGAAAGAAGUUUAAAAGGCGGCGUAAGCUGUCGCUAAAGGAUGGACCUGCGAUGCAUUAGCUAGUUGGUAAGGUAACGGCUUACCAAGGCGAUGAUGCAUAGCCGAGUUGAGAGACUGAUCGGCCACAUUGGGACUGAGACACGGCCCAAACUCCUACGGGAGGCAGCAGUAGGGAAUCUUCCACAAUGGACGCAAGUCUGAUGGAGCAACGCCGCGUGAGUGAAGAAGGUUUUCGGAUCGUAAAGCUCUGUUGUUGGUGAAGAAGGAUAGAGGUAGUAACUGGCCUUUAUUUGACGGUAAUCAACCAGAAAGUCACGGCUAACUACGUGCCAGCAGCCGCGGUAAUACGUAGGUGGCAAGCGUUGUCCGGAUUUAUUGGGCGUAAAGCGAGCGCAGGCGGAUUGAUAAGUCUGAUGUGAAAGCCUUCGGCUCAACCGAAGAACUGCAUCAGAAACUGUCAAUCUUGAGUGCAGAAGAGGAGAGUGGAACUCCAUGUGUAGCGGUGGAAUGCGUAGAUAUAUGGAAGAACACCAGUGGCGAAGGCGGCUCUCUGGUCUGUAACUGACGCUGAGGCUCGAAAGCAUGGGUAGCGAACAGGAUUAGAUACCCUGGUAGUCCAUGCCGUAAACGAUGAGUGCUAAGUGUUGGGAGGUUUCCGCCUCUCAGUGCUGCAGCUAACGCAUUAAGCACUCCGCCUGGGGAGUACGACCGCAAGGUUGAAACUCAAAGGAAUUGACGGGGGCCCGCACAAGCGGUGGAGCAUGUGGUUUAAUUCGAAGCAACGCGAAGAACCUUACCAGGUCUUGACAUCCUUUGACCACCUAAGAGAUUAGGUUUUCCCUUCGGGGACAAAGAGACAGGUGGUGCAUGGCUGUCGUCAGCUCGUGUCGUGAGAUGUUGGGUUAAGUCCCGCAACGAGCGCAACCCUUGUUAAUAGUUGCCAGCAUUAAGUUGGGCACUCUAUUGAGACUGCCGGUGACAAACCGGAGGAAGGUGGGGAUGACGUCAAGUCAUCAUGCCCCUUAUGACCUGGGCUACACACGUGCUACAAUGGGCAGUACAACGAGAAGCGAACCUGUGAAGGCAAGCGGAUCUCUUAAAGCUGUUCUCAGUUCGGACUGUAGGCUGCAACUCGCCUACACGAAGCUGGAAUCGCUAGUAAUCGCGGAUCAGCACGCCGCGGUGAAUACGUUCCCGGGCCUUGUACACACCGCCCGUCACACCAUGAGAGUUUGUAACACCCAAAGUCGGUGAGGUAACCUUUGGAGCCAGCCGCCUAAGGUGGGACAGAUGAUUAGGGUGAAGUCGUAACAAGGUAGCCGUAGGAGAACCUGCGGCUGGAUCACCUCCUUUCUA